rnacentral:rRNA from 1 species
AACGCUAGCUACAGGCUUAACACAUGCAAGUCGUGGGGCAGCAUUUUAGUUUGCUUGCAAACUAAAGAUGGCGACCGGCGCACGGGUGAGUAACACGUAUCCAACCUGCCGAUAACUCGGGGAUAGCCUUUCGAAAGAAAGAUUAAUAUCCGAUGGUAUAUUAAAACCGCAUGGUUUUACUAUUAAAGAAUUUCGGUUAUCGAUGGGGAUGCGUUCCAUUAGUUUGUUGGCGGGGUAACGGCCCACCAAGACUACGAUGGAUAGGGGUUCUGAGAGGAAGGUCCCCCACAUUGGAACUGAGACACGGUCCAAACUCCUACGGGAGGCAGCAGUGAGGAAUAUUGGUCAAUGGACGAGAGUCUGAACCAGCCAAGUAGCGUGAAGGAUGACUGCCCUAUGGGUUGUAAACUUCUUUUAUAUGGGAAUAAAGUGAGCCACGUGUGGCUUUUUGUAUGUACCGUAUGAAUAAGGAUCGGCUAACUCCGUGCCAGCAGCCGCGGUAAUACGGAAGGUCCAGGCGUUAUCCGGAUUUAUUGGGUUUAAAGGGAGCGUAGGCCGUCUGUUAAGCGUGUUGUGAAAUGUAGAUGCUCAACAUCUGAAUUGCUGCGCGAACUGGCAGACUUGAGUGUGCGCAACGUAGGCGGAAUUCGUGGUGUAGCGGUGAAAUGCUUAGAUAUCACGAAGAACUCCGAUUG